UACGUAGGGGGCGAGCGUUGUCCGGAGUUACUGGGCGUAAAGCGCACGCAGGCGGUCUGCUAAGUUUGGAGUGACAGUUGGUGGCUUAACUGCCAAAGUGCUUCGAAAACUGACAGACUUGAGGGCUUCAGAGGGACACGGAAUUCCGGGUGGAGUGGUGAAAUGCGUAGAGAUCCGGAGGAACACCAAAGGCGAAGGCAGCUCUCUGGGACGGUACUGACGCUGAGACGCGAAAGCGUGGGGAGCGAACAGGG
rnacentral:rRNA from 1 species